AGAGUUUGAUCCUGGCUCAGGACGAACGCUGGCGGCGUGCCUAACACAUGCAAGUCGAGCGAUGAAAUCCUUCGGGAUGGAUUAGCGGCGGACGGGUGAGUAACACGUGGGUAACCUGCCUCAAAGAGGGGAAUAGCCUUCCGAAAGGAAGAUUAAUACCGCAUAAUAUGUUUUGGUCGCAUGACUAGAACAUCAAAGGAGCAAUCCGCUUUGAGAUGGACCCGCGGCGCAUUAGCUAGUUGGUGAGGUAACGGCUCACCAAGGCGACGAUGCGUAGCCGACCUGAGAGGGUGAUCGGCCACAUUGGAACUGAGACACGGUCCAGACUCCUACGGGAGGCAGCAGUGGGGAAUAUUGCGCAAUGGGGGAAACCCUGACGCAGCAACGCCGCGUGAAUGAUGAAGGCCUUCGGGUUGUAAAGUUCUGUCUUCUGGGACGAUAAUGACGGUACCAGAGGAGGAAGCCACGGCUAACUACGUGCCAGCAGCCGCGGUAAUA
rnacentral:rRNA from 1 species